rnacentral:rRNA from 1 species
GACGAACGCUGGCGGCGUGCCUAAUACAUGCAAGUCGAACGAGAGCGACCGGUGCUUGCACUGGUCAAUCUAGUGGCGAACGGGUGAGUAACACGUGGGUAACCUGCCCAUCAGAGGGGGAUAACAUCCGGAAACGGAUGCUAAAACCGCAUAGGUCUUCGAACCGCAUGGUUUGAAGAGGAAAAGAGGCGCAAGCUUCUGCUGAUGGAUGGAACCGCGGUGCAUUAGCUAGUUGGUGAGGUAACGGCUCACCAAGGCCGUGAUGCAUAGCCGACCUGAGAGGGUGAUCGGCCACAUUGGGACUGAGACACGGCCCAAACUCCUACGGGAGGCAGCAGUAGGGAAUCUUCCGCAAUGGACGCAAGUCUGACGGAGCAACGCCGCGUGAGUGAAGAAGGUUUUCGGAUCGUAAAACUCUGUUGUUAGAGAAGAACAAGUGCUAGAGUAACUGUUAGCGCCUUGACGGUAGCUAACCAGAAAGCCACGGCUAACUACGUG